CCGAUUUGACGGCAGCGAUCAGCUGCAAGUGUAUCAGCUGAGCAGAUCAGCUGAUCUCAGGGCUGCUGCUAAUGAUGAUGAUGAUGAUGGAUAUCUCACAACUACUUGAGGCUGUCCUCCAGCAGCAAAUCUCGUCUCAUGAGAUUUCGAAGUGUCGCCAGAUGGGACAAUAACAAAAGGGCCGGACAAGUGAAAGGUAUGCCGGAGUCAGGGCGGAGCCACCAGGUGCACCUCAUUGCCAUAAUCAAGACCUCUUCUUAUACUCAGCUCUGCCAUCUCCACCCUGCCAGAUCGUAAUCUCUACGUAUCUCACCGCUCCUGACUCCGGCCCUGCCUCCUCAUCCCCACUGGAAUUACCCAAACCGCUCAGCCAUCAUUAUACCUCUUUGUCCCUGACCAUGCUCUCCCUCAACUCCUCUGGAUCCGCUCCCCAACCUGCUGCUCUAUCUCCAACCCUUGCAUCCCUGGCUCUACA